GGGGAAUAGUUGCACAAUGGGGGGAAACCCUGAUGCAGCCAUGCCGCGUGUGUGAAGAAGGCCUUCGGGUUGUAAAGCACUUUCAGUAGGGAGGAAGGUAGUGUAGUUAACACCUGCAUUAUUUGACGUUACCUACAGAAGAAGCACCGGCUAACUCCGUGCCAGCAGCCGCGGUAAUACGGAGGGUGCGAGCGUUAAUCGGAAUUACUGGGCGUAAAGCGCAUGCAGGCGGCCUGUUAAGUCAGAUGUGAAAGCCCGGGGCUUAACCUCGGAAUUGCAUUUGAAACUGGCAGGCUAGAGUCUUGUAGAGGGGGUAGAAUUUCAGGUGUAGCGGUGAAAUGCGUAGAGAUCUGAAGGAAUACCAGUGGCGAAGGCGGCCCCCUGGACAAAGACUGACGCUCAGAUGCGAAAGCGUGGGGAGCAAACAGGAUUAGAUACCCUGGUAG
rnacentral:rRNA from 1 species